rnacentral:rRNA from 1 species
AGACCCGAAACCCGGUGAUCUAGCCAUGGGCAGGUUGAAGGUUGGGUAACACUAACUGGAGGACCGAACCGACUAAUGUUGAAAAAUUAGCGGAUGACCUGUGGCUGGGGGUGAAAGGCCAAUCAAACCGGGAGAUAGCUGGUUCUCCCCGAAAGCUAUUUAGGUAGCGCCUCGUGAAUUCAUCUCCGGGGGUAGAGCACUGUUUCGGCUAGGGGGCCAUCCCGGCUUACCAACCCGAUGCAAACUGCGAAUACCGGAGAAUGUUAUCACGGGAGACACACGGCGGGUGCUAACGUCCGUCGUGAAGAGGGAAACAACCCAGACCGCCAGCUAAGGUCCCAAAGUCAUGGUUAAGUGGGAAACGAUGUGGGAAGGCCCAGACAGCCAGGAUGUUGGCUUAGAAGCAGCCAUCAUUUAAAGAAAGCGUAAUAGCUCACUGGUCGAGUCGGCCUGCGCGGAAGAUGUAACGGGGCUAAACCAUGCACCGAAGCUGCGGCAGCGAACG